rnacentral:rRNA from 1 species
GACAGAGGUGCCGAGCGUUAGGCGGAAUCACUGGGCUUAAAGCGUGUGUAGGCGGAUCGUUAAGUGCCUUGUGAAAUCCCACGGCUCACCCGUGGAACUGCUGGGCAUACUGGCGGUCUUGAGCCACCUAGGGGCAACCGGAACAAACGGUGGAGCGGUGAAAUGCGUAGAUAUCGGUUGGAACGCCAAUGGUGAAAACAGGUUGCUGGGGGUGUGCUGACGCUGAGACACGAAAGCCAGGGGAGCAAACGGG